CUUCCUGGCCACCUCGAGAAAGAUACUAUGAGAAAAUAAAUGCUGGUGCUUUUCUAAGCCAGCUUCGGAAAUGGUGUACCUGUUACUCUGUACUGCGACUCUCAUUUUGGAUGUCUCUGUCUGUCCUUACAGAACAGAAUUCUCCUGAGAGCUUUCCAUGGAGACUUCUCAUGGGAGGAGAUGCUUGGGGGUCCCAGUUGUUGCAGUCACGGCGAUUUCAAUAUCCACAAUAUUGUCACUAUACACUGCGUUGACAACGCCUUGGUGACAUCCUCGGUCCCAGCUGCUGCUGACUGACAGACCUAGAGAGGCCCAUCUACUGGGGUUCGAUCUGAAGAAAUCGAUGGCCGAAAAAUCACGCAAGGAUGAGGAUGUAGACAAAGAAGACUCAAUAUCGAAGCAAGGGCAGGCUUCCUCCUGCCAUGAUGGCUUGUCCCAGUUCCAGAAGCACAGACACCUGACCAGCAACUGAAACCUUUGAGACAACCGGGAGCCACACAAUGGAAAGCUCGGCUUCUAAAUCAGACCUCCAAGUCCUGAUAUCCACUCCUGCCUCAUGCACUGAAAGGAAAUAAAACUGUGAUUCAUGUAAUGUAUGUCAAAUAGCCCAAAGAGUUGUUUGUGAGCUUUGAAACCUGGGGCUGAGAACAUAGCAGAACAGACCAG
rnacentral:lncRNA from 1 species